ensembl:snRNA U6 U6 spliceosomal RNA
GUGCUCACUUCAACAGCACAUAUACUAAAACUGGAAUGAUACAGAGAAGAUUAGCACAGCCCCUGCACAAGGAUGACCCGCAGAUUCACGAAGCAGUCUAUAUUUUU